rnacentral:rRNA from 1 species
GAUGAACGCUGGCGGCGUGCCUAAUACAUGCAAGUCGAGCGAAGCGGGGACGGGUGAGUAACACGUGGAUAACCUCCUAUAAGACUGGGUUACCUUCGGGAAACCGGAGCUAAACCGGUAACCUAUAGUUGGAUCUGCGCUGCAUUAGCUAGUUGGUAAGGUAACGGCUUACCAAGGCAACGAUCCAUAGCCGGCCUGAGAGGAUGAUCGGCCACACUGGGACUGAGACACGGCCCAGACUCCUAAGGGAGGCAGCAGUGGGGAAUUUUCCGCAAUGGGCGAAAGCCUGACGGAGCAACGCCGCGUGAAUGAUGAAGGGCUUCGGGUCGUAAAACUCUGUUAGUAGGGAAGCGGUACCUAAACAAAAAGCCCCGGCUAACUACGUGCCAGCAGCCGCGGUAAUAC